ensembl:lncRNA
UUUCCCUGAUGUGUAUCCAAUACGCACACGCUUGGCUGCAUAGGGCAGAUGGGGCUGAAGACUCUGUCUCCAUCCCUCCACUUUGCGAUCUAUACCACCAUAUAGGUGGGGAUUGAUUGUAUCCCAGGUAUGGCAUCCUGCAGCGAGCCAGUAUGGAAGGCUGGUUAGCCAACGACGGGUAAGAUCCCACCUUGACACCCGGGACGACCUAAGGCAGGCACAGUCACAAUUACUUGGCAGAGUCGCUGUGGGCACUGGCUUACUUGAUCAUGAAGUCACGAGCUGCAACAAUCAUAGGAAGUGCCGGGUGGGAUGUAAGGUGGAGGAGGAACAGGCGUCAGAUAUGUCAGCUCUGGCAGCAGAGGUGGUCUUGGAACAGGGCAUGUCGCAUUUUUAUUUUAUUUUUUUUAUUUUUUUUUUUUUUUUACCUUUGUGGUAUAGAAGCCCACUAACGCAUGUACGUUUUUCGGUUUAGUGCAUGACUUUGGAACAGCGUGGUCUCAGGCGGCUGAUGGUAAACCCACCCAUAUUGGGUUUUGUUUUUGGACACACUGGUUCGAUCUGUUUUUUUUUGUCACUCUUGAUUUGUAUUUCUUAACCCAUUUGACUAUUGUUUCUUUGGUCAGUCAAACAUGAAGCAAAUACGGCGAUGGUGGUGCCUUGUUCUUUUGAAGAACUUCCCCCUGCCGUCUGCAGAGGAGCUUUCAGGAAGAGAAGACGGGAGGAAAGAAAGCUACAGGUACGUGUCAUAUACUGUAAUGUGUGAGGUUGUCUUAGAACAAUUGUGAAAGACUAUAGUCUUACCACCCUCCCACCACUAAUACAUUUCAGGAUAAAGAUCUCUGCACAAAUAGGGCUAGAGUUGCUCCAACAGCAUCCAGCUCUGAAAGAUCAGGUAAUGUAUAGACUGUUAAUCCAGGAAGAUGAUGUUGUCCUGAAGGACACAAUUCAGGCAGCAGCAUGGUGCCAGUUACAGUCCUUCAAGGACAGCGUUUCUCUCCCAGAGGUCAUUGGGAUGGAAGGUUGGGAGCAGAUGGCAGCAUCAACACAGCGCAAAUCCCAUGACGGCGGGGAUGAGGAAGAAACGUGGAAACCAUUCCAAUUCUCAUUCAGAUUACAUACUGACUAUGAACUGUUCUGUGUGGAGAUGAUGGACAGGAGAAACCUGAAGGUGUUUGCCUCUUUUGAGUCAAACACCUCUCCCCCUCCCCGUCCCCCCUCCCGUCCCCCCCCUGCGCCACACGACUCCAAUGUAGUCUGAUGAUGCAGCAUAAUGGCGGCGCUUGGCAGCUAUGGCGGCGGUGACGGCGAUGUCGGGCGACAGAGCGUGAAGCGAGGAAGGCGUCAGUGUGUUCUCCCCCGUUGAGACUUUGUUUGUUCUACUCUUUAUUGAUUUAUCUUUUAUGUUAAUAGUUUACAAUCUAUUUUUUGUAGUUGUUAUUUUUUAAUUGUUUUGUUGAAUAAAAAGACUGUUGUUAGUGCUCCUGUGAUUGGUGUAACUUAAUGUGCUUCACACAUGUAGCUUUUCAUUAUGUCUAUUGAGGUACAUUUUUUGCCCUUAGAUGUGGUCACUUCGUUAUUCCUCACAUUACAUCUGUUAAGGUCAUACCUUGGGGUCCCAGUCUU